UGGGGAAUCUUGCACAAUGGGGGAAACCCUGAUGCAGCGACGCCGCGUGAGCGAUGAAGCCCUUCGGGGUGUAAAGCUCUUUCGUCAGGGAAGAUAGUGACGGUACCUGGAGAAGCAGCUGCGGCUAACUACGUGCCAGCAGCCGCGGUAAUACGUAGGCAGCAAGCGUUGUUCGGAGUUACUGGGCGUAAAGGGUGUGUAGGCGGUCUCUUAAGUUUGCUGUGAAAUCUCCCGGCUUAACCGGGAGGGUGCGGUGAAUACUGAGGGACUAGAGUACGGGAGAGGAAAGUGGAAUUCCUGGUGUAGCGGUGAAAUGCGUAGAUAUCAGGAGGAACACCGGUGGUGUAGAUGGCUUUCUGGACCGUAACUGACGCUGAGACACGAAAGCGUGGGUAGCAAACAG
rnacentral:rRNA from 1 species